rnacentral:rRNA from 2 species
UAUAUCAACUGGCUACUGUGCCAGCUGGUGGAUAGCUCGGCUCGAGAGCCGAUGACGGACGUGCCAAGCUGCGAUAAGCCUCAGGGACCCGCAUGGAGGGAAAGAACUGAGGAUCUCCGAAUGGGAAUCCCCACGCAAUUGCCUCGCGCAAUGGGGAACGUUCCGAAUUGAAACAUCUUAGUAGGAACAGGAAAAGAAAGCAAUCCGCGAUGUCGUUAGUAACGGCGAGUAAACGCGACACAGUCCAAACCGAAGCCUUCGGGCAAUGUGGUGUACGGACUACCCAUAACGGACCUGGGUCUUAUGUGAAGUCUCCUGGAACGGAGCGUGAUACAGGGUGAAAACCCCGUAACAUAAGAACCAGAUCCCGGGGUUGUUCCAGAAUAGCGGGGGUUGGAUAUCCCUCGUGAAUUUCGCAGGCAUCAACUGCGAAGACUAAACACUCCUCGAGACCGAUAGCGAACAAGUAGCGUGAGCGAACGCUGAAAAGCACCCCGAACAGGGCGGUGCAAUAGGGCUUGAAAUCAGUUGGCGAUAGAGCGACGUGGCAUACAAGGUCACUCGACGAAAGAACUGGGAGCGAUCCCGUAGUAUGACUCGAGUGAAGCCGAUGUUACGUCGUACGUUUUGAAAAACGAACCAUGGAGUGCAUCUGACUGGCGAGUCUAAGGGGUGAACCCCCGGAGGCAUAGGGAAACCGAUACGGCCGCAGUCUUUGACCAGGGCCACCGUCUUCAAGGGCGGGGAGCCAACCGGAUGCGACCCGAAACCAAGUGAUCUACGCCGGAGCAGGGCGAAGCGUGGCGAAAGCUGCGUGGAGGCCCGUUAGAGUUGGUGUCCUACAAUACCCUCUCGUGACUCUGGUGUAGGGGUGAAAGGCCCAUCGAACUUGGCAACAGCUGGUUCCAACCGAAACAUGUCGAAGCAUGACCUCUGAUGAGAUAGUUCGUGAGGUAGAGCGACCGAUUGGGAAUCCGGACUCCGAGAGGAGUUCGCUUCCCUGUCAAACUCCGAACUUACGAACGUCGUAGACUCAGGGAGUCCGGUGUGCGGGGUAAGCUUGUGCACCGUGAGGGAGACAACCCAGAGCCAGGUUAAGGACCCAAAGUGUGGAUUAAGUGUGAUUGAAGAUUGUCUCGAGCCCUAAACAGCCGGGAGGUGAGCUUAGAAGCAGCUACCCUCUAAGAAUAGCGUAACAGCUUACCGGCCGAGGUUCGAGGCGUCGAAAAUGAUCGGGACUCAAAUCCACCUCCGAGACCUGGCGGCGUGUCUUAUGACACGAUUCCGUAGGUUGGCAUACUGCAUGGGUGGAAGCACGGGUGAGAACUCGUGUGGACCGUGCAGCAACGAAAAUCAUGGUCUCAGUAGCAGCGAGAGUCGGGUGUGAACCCCGACGGCCUUACGCGCAAGGGUUCCUCGGCACUGUCAAUCAGCCGAGGGUUAGUCGAUCCUAAGUCUAACCGUAAUUCGAAUUAGAUGAAAGGGAAACUGGUUAAUAUUCCAGUACCUUCUUGCACCAAACGUCGACGCUUUAGGAAACACCGAGCGGGGCCUUCGCCCCGUCGAAUCACCGAAAUUCGUGGAAGCCGUAACGGCACGAAGCGAACGAACGGUGAGAUAGGGAAACUCGGCGGUACCUAGAGCCCGUGAAAAGACAAGCAAGAAGCUCGUACCGAGAUCCGACACAGGUGCGCUGGCAGAGCAAGCCAAGGCCUGUCGGGAUCAACCGACGUUAGGGAAUUCGGCAAGUUAGUCCCGUAAGUUCGCGAUAAGGGAUGCCUGCUCUUGACCGAGCAGGUCGCAGUGACUCGGACGCUCCGACUGUCUAGUAACAACAUAGGUGACCGCAAAUCCGCAAGGACUCGUACGGUCACUGAAUCCUGCCCAGUGCGGGUAUCUGAACACCCAUUACAAUGGGACGAAGGACCCGUCAACGGCGGGGGUAACUAUGACCCUCUUAAGGUAGCGUAGUACCUUGCCGCUUCAGUAGCGGCUUGCAUGAAUGGAUCAACGAGAGCGUCACUGUCCCAACGUUGGGCCCGGUGAACAGUACGUUCCAGUGCGGAGUCUGGAGACCCCCAAGGGGAAGCGAAGACCCUAUAGAGCUUUACUGCAGGCUGUCGCUGAGACGUGGUCGCUAAUGUGCAGCAUAGGUAGGAGCCAUUACACAGGUACCCGCGCCAGCGGGCCACCGAGGCAGCAUUGAAAUACUACCCGUUAGUGACUGCGACUCUCACUCCUGGCGGAGGACACCGGUAGCCGGGCAGUUUGACUGGGGCGGUACGCGCUCGAAAAGAUAUCGAGCGCGCCCAAAGAUUUCCUCACGCGAGUCGGGAACUCGUGGAAGAGCGCAAGAGCAAACGGAAGUCUGACAGUGACAUUCCCAACGAGUGUCGCUGACGCGAAAGCGUGGUCUAGCGAACCUACGAGGUUCAUUCAUGGGACCCGUAGAUGACAGAAAAGCUACCUUAGGGAUAACAGAGUCGUCACCGGCAAGAGCACAUAUCGACCCGGUGGCUUGCUACCUCGAUGUCGGUUCCCUCCAUCCUGCCUGUGCAGAAGCAGGCAAGGGUGAGGUUGUUCGCCUAUUAAAGGAGGUCGUGAGCUGGGUUUAGACCGUCGUGAGACAGGUCGGCUGCUAUCUAUUGGGGGUGUUAAGGAACUUGACGUGAACGUUCGUAUAGUACGAGAGGAACUACGAAUGGGUGCCACUGGUGUACCGGUUGUCCGAGAGGGCAGAUGCCGGGCAGCUACGCACCACGGGGUAAGAGCUGAACGCAUCUAAGCUCGAAACCCACACGGAAAAGAAGUUCCACUGAGGACACUCGUAGAAGACGAGUUCGAUAGACUCGGGGUGUACGCAACGAGGUAACGAGUUGUUAAGCCCGCGAGCACUAACAGUCCAAGCCACAUUC